CCCUUAGAUGUUCUGGGCUGCACGCGCGCUACACUGAAGCUAUCAACACGUUUUCCCUCCCUGAGAAGGGCGGGUAACCUUUUGAAUCAGCUUCGUGGUAGGGAUCGGGGCUUGCAAUUGUUCCCCGUGAACCAGGAAUUCCUAGUAGACGCGAGUCAUAAGCUCGCAUCGAUUAAGUCCCUGCCCUUUGUACACACCGCCCGUCGCUACUACCGAUUGAACGUUUUAGUGAGGCAUUUGGACCGACGCAUCUCAGUUUAACCGCUGGUUUGUGUGGGAAAGACUUCCAAACUUGAGCGUUUAGAGGAAGUAAAAGUCGUAACA
rnacentral:rRNA from 1 species